rnacentral:rRNA from 1 species
AACGCGAAGAACCUUACCUGGGCUUGACAUUUAGGGAAAAGCCGUAGAGAUACGGUGUCCUUCGGGGUCCUAAACAGGUGGUGCAUGGCUGUCGUCAGCUCGUGUCGUGAGAUGUUGGGUUAAGUCCCGCAACGAGCGCAACCCUUGUCCUAUGUUGCCAGCGGGUAAUGCCGGGGACUCGUAGGAGACUGCCGGGGUCAACUCGGAGGAAGGUGGGGAUGACGUCAAGUCAUCAUGCCCCUUACGUCCAGGGCUGCACACAUGCUACAAUGGCCGGUACAACGGGCUGCUAUCCCGCGAGGGGGAGCCAAUCCCAAAAGCCGGUCUCAGUUCGGAUUGGAGUCUGCAACUCGACUCCAUGAAGUCGGAGUCGCUAGUAAUCCCGGAUCAGCAACGCCGGGGUGAAUACGUUCCCGGGCCUUGUA